rnacentral:rRNA from 1 species
UGGGGAAUAUUGCACAAUGGGCGCAAGCCUGAUGCAGCCAUGCCGCGUGUAUGAAGAAGGCCUUCGGGUUGUAAAGUACUUUCAGCGGGGAGGAAGGGAGUAAAGUUAAUACCUUUGCUCAUUGACGUUACCCGCAGAAGAAGCACCGGCUAACUCCGUGCCAGCAGCCGCGGUAAUACGGAGGGUGCAAGCGUUAAUCGGAAUUACUGGGGGUAAAGCGCACGCAGGCGGUUUGUUAAGUCAGAUGUGAAAUCCCCGGGCUCAACCUGGGAACUGCAUCUGAAACUGGCAAGAUUGAGUCUCGUAGAGGGGGGUAGAAUUCCAGGGGUAGCGGUGAAAUGCGUAGAGAUCUGGAGGAAUACCGGUGGCGAAGGCGGCCCCCUGGACGAAGACUGACGCUCAGGUGCGAAAGCGUGGGGAGCAAACAGG